UACGUAGGGGGCAAGCGUUGUCCGGAAUCAUUGGGCGUAAAGCGCGUGUAGGCGGUUCGGUAAGUCUGCUGUGAAAGUCCAGGGCUCAACCCUGGGAUGCCGGUGGAUACUGUCGGACUAGAGUACGGAAGAGGCGAGUGGAAUUCCCGGUGUAGCGGUGAAAUGCGCAGAUAUCGGGAGGAACACCAAUAGCGAAGGCAGCUCGCUGGGACGGUACUGACACUAAGGCGCGAAAGCGUGGGGAGCGAACAGG
rnacentral:rRNA from 1 species